GUUCUACCUUUCUCUUCAUCCUCAUCCUGGUGAAUCCCAAAUGGACGUAGUCUCUUUGUAGAGCGAGCGCUGCAGGGAUUGAUCUUUAGAGUUUAUGCUCCUUUCUCUUGGCAUCAGUAGAGUUGGAGUGCCUUUUUCUGAGGGAUUCCCUGGUUAGCUUGAAUAAACUCUUGAAGUUAAAUCACGGAACCAUUUAGAUCAUACUCCCCUCCACCUCGGCUUUCCUGCUUCCUUUCUUCUUUAGAGGUCUGUUUGAUCAGCUACAGAUGGGGAAACUGAGGCCCAGCGGGACCAGUGGCACAACAGUCUCCCUACAAACCCCAGUGUUCUAAGUGCUAGACAAUACUCCAGCCUAGAAACAGGAUAAUGUUAGAAGACUUAAUAAUUUUCAAAUAACCUCCAGAUAUGUCACAAGAUAGACAACAAGAGACUGUUACAGACUCAUUUGUGCUGCCCCAUAUCAAUUCACCAUUCUAUUUAAGAACUCUGAUACUUUCAGCAUAUUGAUCAGAAGGGCUCCAGUGAACUCCCUGAAC